GGUGUUCCGCUGCUUGCUCACUCUUUUUUUUUUUUUUUUAAGAUUUAAGGGAAAUGUGGACUUUUAUCAUCUUAUGAACUGAAAAUGUGUUGAAACAUUCUAUAAUAUAGAUCGAAUGUAGCUGAGAUCAUUGACAGAUGAUUAAUUCAUGUGUGAGAUGGAGAAUCCCAGGACUUGAGAAACAGAAGUUGUCAGGUGUCUGUGGUUUGCUGAUCACCCAACUGAAAUAACGAGGUGAAUUCCUUUUACUGAAAACAGUGACUCAGCUUGAUGGAAGCAGAAGCAGACACCCACAGAUACACAAUAAGCUGAACUCCUGGAAUCCACUUGCCAAGAGGGAGGAGUGAUGAGCAAAACUGUCAAGACCAGAAUUUGGUUCAUAGGCACAAUUGCACCAUGAGGAUAUCUAGAUGGAUCACAAUGAUAAUAUGGGAAAAAACAGAAGCCUCAGUGGAAGUGUGAAACUCAAUUGAUGAAUUGUCUCCAUCCUACUCUGCUGUCAUCAUAUUGUACUGUCCUGAAUUUGGUUGGUUAAAGUUUGAAGUCAGAAGCCCAUUGUGGGAAAUCUCACUCCUGGGGAAGUCUUCGAAGUUUCUAUAAGAAAUCAAGAUAAAUGAGCCAUGGUGAAUAAGCCAAUUGAAAAAAAUCAGGGUUGAUCAAGGAAAAUCCCCUGCAACACCCCUGAUGGUAGUGGAUGGUUCAAAUGAUUCAACAACUCAGAGAGCAUGUGUUUCAGUUUCCUCUGAGUUAUACAUGCAGAAUAACUUCAAGCUAGUGAGGAGAAGACUUAGAAACAGAAUUCGCGAAAACGCUUCCUGGUCAUUACCGACUUUGAAAAUCCACAUUAAAGCUAAAGACUUAAUGCAGUCCCUUCUCCCUCGACCCCUAAAAAGGACCCGGAACAGGAAGUGCGUCACAAUCCCAUUCUGGGGACGGACCAGGCUGCCUAGGAAACUACAGGAACCAAAGAUUCUCUUUGUUGGCGAUUUCCUUCAGAACAGCAAUCACAGUCGCACUUCCUGGCUGCAGCUGAAUAGCUUUGAGCGUUGGUUUAAUUCUUUAAAUGAAAGCUUCUCUUUAUUUGCGAUUUUACCCUAUCAGCAAACACAGUCGCACUUCCACGUUGGGGAGAGUAGCUUUGAGAACGAAAUUUCACUUUUUAAAAAAUCUCUUCAUUUGCGAUUUCCCCUGACUACCAGAGUCGCACAUCCAGGUUGCAGAAGAGUGACAUGAAAGCAGGAUUUCUUCGCUUAACUGAAGAAACCUUCCACAGCACUUGUGUGAAAUUUGGCUGCAUUAAAUCAAUCAUGUGUGACAAACAUGUUCAAAGCAGUAACAAAUCACUCUUUAUGAGAUAAGGAAAGAUCUUUAGCAUCCAUCUUCAGCCUAUAUGCCCAGGACAUAUGGCACAUUUUUUUAUGAAGAAGGAACUUGAAGGAUCACCCUUUCCAUUGGCAACUUCAGCAGUCACUCUUCUUUGUAACCUGCCUGUCGAGUUUGGACAGCAUUGUGUCAAGCAUUCAAGGAAAGAAGUUUCUUGUACAAAUGGCUGGUCCUGCCAUGUGAAAGGUGACAUCACUCCAGGCUGAUUCUGACGGCUCCCCAAUGUCUACCAUUCUGCUAGAUUUUCAUGAAACACUUAAUUGAAAAUUGUGACCAACCACAGUUUUGGACUGCCAUUCAGAAUAAAUUCUACUCAAAAUCUAUACAGGGAACUGGACAUGACCAUGAUGAACAUAUAUAUGAAAUAUAAAUCCUUUGACAACAUUGCAACUCUUACAUGGACAUUCAAGAUGAAACCACUAAGAUUUCCAAACAUCUUCAAGCUCAACUUUCUUUUUUAAUCACCUUUGGUGAGUUUAAGUAUUUUUCUACACCCACUGCUGUUAUCCACGAAGAUCAUUAAGCAUUCUGUAUGCAGGAUUCCAGGCUUCAUCUUCUGAGUCAGAUGCCAUCUGAGAUGUGGAGCUGUGUGAGGCAGAGAUGCAAGGGGAAGAGCAUUCUGGAGAACACAAACAAUGCCUCGGGGAUGUGAUACUUCCAACAGAAAUCCACAGACUUAAUUUGUCUGAAAGAGCAGUCAAAAUACACUCCUCCAUACUUGGGGUUUGGGCAAUUGCUGGCUAAACACAAACAUCUAAGGAGCUUCCCAGGAAGAUCAUGGGGAGUGUAAGAAAUACUUCUGGAUCUUAAUGAUCCUUGCAGGUAUUGCCAGAAGAACUGGAGAGUCAAAUGUUAAAUCUUGACCAAAGGAAACAAAAAACAAUGUAUUUCAUAAAAAACAACUCUUCCUGAUGUGUAAGUCUGAGGAUCUCUAGAGGCAGACAUGUCAGCAAGUUAUUGAGGGAAUGCUCUGCAGCUGGUUUCCUCCCAGGUUCUGGUUGCCUCCCAUGUUAAGGGUCUACAGGGCUCCCAGCUCCAACAGCUAGGCAGGCCCUUAAUGGAAGCAGAUGGCUGUGAGGUAGCGAACCUGUAAUAUGUUAUGUAGUUGCACAUGGACAGGUCAUAGAGCAGCAUUCCUGGAUUUCAGAUCUCUAUGUCCAUCAGAAUGCUGGGGCUGCUCUGAUGGGACAGCUCCAAUCCCAGAGUCAUGUGCUCAUUCCUGGUCAAGUCCUGUAGCUGAAGGUUCAGAAAGACACUGCACAGCGCCCAGGCAGCAUGUCAGAAUGUUGUAGGCCAGCAGCAUCCACAGAAACAACAAACUUGAGCCCUGUUACCCCUCAGGCCUCCCUUCCACCUUCGACUCCUGCUCCCUUCCACCUCAGACUCCAGAGUGUAGGCUAACAUGCUGAGAAGGGAGCAGCUGAGUUCAGCUUCUCUGCAUGUGGCCUCACCCAUAGGCAGUAAUCCCAGGCUCUUCCAGUUGACACCAUGGAACGCUCUGCAACAGGAAGUGAGCUCUGUUUAGGACGUGGUGCCAGUUGGUGGGGGGAAGUAGCGUCGUGGGGGCGAGGAAAGACUACGUUCUGUAGCUAGCUGACCACUUUUCUGUAACAUUUAGGAUAAAUGUGAACUUCUAUCUUCUAUUGCAUUGAAAAUCGAUGUCGAGACAUUCUGUAAUAUAGAUCGAAUAUAGCUGAGAUCCUUGACAGAUGAUUAAUUCAUGUGUGAGAUGGAGUAUGUGGGAGAGCCCUUGUGCCUGUCAUUUUCCUCUGCAUGUUUUAGGAUCACAGACAGGAUUCCCACAGACACCUUUUUGGUUCCUCAGAUUUCAGUGCAGGAUACAGAAACGUUAAGUUGAAUCUUCAGAGGGAACCCAAAGCAUAGAUUCAGAAAUGUAACAGAGGAAAACUGGAGUUUUUCAAACUGUUUGUUGCAGUGUGUUCCUUGAGUUAUAGGAAAGUGAUUGUAUUUUAAAUAAAGUAAAAAUUUUCAUCACUUGGUAAUGGGUCAUUCAGUAACAGACUUAUACUGCAUGUGUGAAAUACUGUUUUUUCUCUCUCAAGUAAGCAUGGAAGUCAUUAAAAUUAUGUGGUAAGCAAGACCAGAACUUGAGAAGAAGAAAUUGUCAGACCUCUGAGUUUGCUGACAAUCUAGCUGAAAACAGUGUCUCACUUAAGUUCAGGAGUAGCAAUAAUUUGUAUUGCGAGAGUGCUGACAUUCUUGCUAUAUUUCAUUUCCAAGAGGAGCUUUAAAAGGCUGUCCUCUUCAGAUAAGUUUCCAAUAACAAACUAGUAGUGUUUCAAUGAAUUUCAAACUAAGAAACAAAUGGGUUUAUUGGUUGCCCUUAAGAUCAGAGGUGACAUGUUCUCUCUCCCAACAUGCCACACCCAGAGAGACUUUACCCAAAAGAAAUGAGGGGAUAACAGAAAGUAGGAGUUGUCAUAGCUGCAUAAACAUACCCCGUGCUAUAGUAUACCAAGAAACACAC
rnacentral:lncRNA from 1 species